ACGACACGUGAAAGAAAAUUUUUUUGAGAAUGUGAGAAAAUACGAUAAAUCAAAGAUAAAACCCUAAAAGGAAAUCAUUUUGGCACUUAAGAUUUAUAUUGGUAUACAUUUUUUUUGUUUUUGAUAACCGUCAUACUCCAUGCUGUUUAGCGGAUAAAUCAAACCAAGAAUGCAAAUAGAAUGAUUGUUGGAGCUAUAAGAAGAAUUAAACAUGUUCCAAAUUUGUGAAUGUUACUUCCUGACUAACUAGCAGCCCCCUGAGCAUGGCAGUUUGUUUGUACUAUGUAACCCUUUUCUUUUUGCAGAUUUGAGGCCAGAGCCUGUCAUCUUCACCACACAAUAUGCAAGUUUAACUUGUUCAUUUGUUAAACUGUCACCAGCAAAAAUCUCAGGAUCAUCGCUUGGAUAAAAAGCAUCCCAUUGCAUUGGAAUGCAAUCGACUUAUGGAUCUCUCUUUUUCCUCUUUCCUUAAAUGUCCUCGUGUACGCCCAUGUGAAUGUGGGUGUAUUCACGAGCGAGGACACCCUUUUUACCCUAUCCAGUAGCCUGGUGUAAUUCAACUCUUCAGCGGAUGGAUGGAGCAACUGUAGAUGCCUGGCUGUAUUUCCCAGGCACAAAGUUUUUCGGUGUGAGCGGAAUGCGUUCUCGUUAGAUUGCUGCACACGACGCCGCGACGAUUUGUCAUCGCUCGCGUUCGUGCCUCACGAAAAUUGGAAUCGUAUAAGGAGGUGGCAGCUGUUGCGCUUCUUUUUUUCUACUGCGAAUGAAAUUAUUUUGUUUUUUGUUUUUUGGUGUACGGAAAUUAUUCUGGAAUGGAAAAAGAUGAAGGAAAGAGAUAAACCAUUUUUGGUUCGGCAUAUUUGUGUGUCUCUGUCAA